AGGUAGCAAUACCUUGAUGGCGACCGGCGCACGGGUGAGUAACACGUAUCCAACCUGCCGUCUACUCUUGGACAGCCUUCUGAAAGGAAGAUUAAUACAAGAUGGCAUCAUGAGUCCGCAUGUUCACAUGAUUAAAGGUAUUCCGGUAGACGAUGGGGAUGCGUUCCAUUAGAUAGUAGGCGGGGUAACGGCCCACCUAGUCUUCGAUGGAUAGGGGUUCUGAGAGGAUGUCCGGCCACACUGGAACUGAGACACGGUCCAGACUCC
rnacentral:rRNA from 1 species